AUCCUGAUGUAAUAAUAAAGCAUGGAAAUAGCAUGAUUUGGAGUAUGAGCAGGUAUGAGAUAUGGUAAAGACAUUAAUUUUUAGGCACAAAAAAACCGUAAAUGACAAACUUAAACUCUGAUUAAAG
rnacentral:misc_RNA from 1 species